GACGAACGCGGCGGCGUGCCUAAUACAUACAAGUCGAGCGAGCUUGCCUAGAUGAAUUUGGUGCUUGCACCAAAUGAAACUAGAUACAAGCGAGCGGCGGACGGGUGAGUAACACGUGGGUAACCUGCCCAAGAGACUGGGAUAACACCUGGAAACAGAUGCUAAUACCGGAUAACAACACUAGACGCAUGUCUAGAGUUUAAAAGAUGGUUCUGCUAUCACUCUUGGAUGGACCUGCGGUGCAUUAGCUAGUUGGUAAGGUAACGGCUUACCAAGGCAAUGAUGCAUAGCCGAGUUGAGAGACUGAUCGGCCACAUUGGGACUGAGACACGGCCCAAACUCCUACGGGAGGCAGCAGUAGGGAAUCUUCCACAAUGGACGCAAGUCUGAUGGAGCAACGCCGCGUGAGUGAAGAAGGGUUUCGGCUCGUAAAGCUCUGUUGGUAGUGAAGAAAGAUAGAGGUAGUAACUGGCCUUUAUUUGACGGUAAUUACUUAGAAAGUCACGGCUAACUACGUGCCAGCAGCCGCGGUAAUACGUAGGUGGCAAGCGUUGUCCGGAUUUAUUGGGCGUAAAGCGAGUGCAGGCGGUUCAAUAAGUCUGAUGUGAAAGCCUUCGGCUCAACCGGAGAAUUGCAUCAGAAACUGUUGAACUUGAGUGCAGAAGAGGAGAGUGGAACUCCAUGUGUAGCGGUGGAAUGCGUAGAUAUAUGGAAGAACACCAGUGGCGAAGGCGGCUCUCUGGUCUGCAACUGACGCUGAGGCUCGAAAGCAUGGGUAGCGAACAGG
rnacentral:rRNA from 1 species